GAUGAACGCUGGCGGCGUGCCUAAUACAUGCAAGUCGAGCGAACAGACGAGGAGCUUGCUCCUCUGACGUUAGCGGCGGACGGGUGAGUAACACGUGGAUAACCUACCUAUAAGACUGGGAUAACUUCGGGAAACCGGAGCUAAUACCGGAUAAUAUAUUGAACCGCAUGGUUCAAUAGUGAAAGACGGUUUUGCUGUCACUAAUAGAUGGAUCCGCGCCGCAUUAGCUAGUUGGUAAGGUAACGGCUUACCAAGGCAACGAUGCGUAGCCGACCUGAGAGGGUGAUCGGCCACACUGGAACUGAGACACGGUCCAGACGCCUACGGGAGGCAGCAGUAGGGAAUCUUCCGCAAUGGGCGAAAGCCUGACGGAGCAACGCCGCGUGAGUGAUGAAGGUCUUCGGAUCGUAAAACUCUGUUAUUAGGGAAGAACAAAUGUGUAAGUAACUAUGCACGUCUUGACGGUACCUAAUCAGAAAGCCACGGCUAACUACGUG
rnacentral:rRNA from 1 species